GAUGAAGAACGCAGCGAAAUGCGAUAAGUAGUGUGAAUUGCAGAAUUCAGUGAAUCAUCGAAUUUUUGAACGCACAUUGCGCCCUUUGGUAUCCCUUAGGGCAUGCCUGUUCGAGCGUCAUUUAAACCUUCAAGCUAAGCUUGGUGUUGGGUGACUGUCCGCUUCACGGCGGACUCGCCUCAAAAUUAUUGGCGGCCGGUACAUUGGCUUCGAGCGCAGCAGAAACGCGAACUCGGGCCCGUCGUAUUGGCUCCCAGAAGCUAUCUUCACAAUUUUGACCUCGGAUCAGGUAGGGAUACCCGCUGAACUUAAGCAUAUCAAUAAGCGGAGGA
rnacentral:misc_RNA from 1 species